UCAAUGCAUUGAAAGUGAC
rnacentral:sRNA from 1 species